rnacentral:rRNA from 1 species
GACGAACGCUGGCGGCGUGCCUAAUACAUGCAAGUAGAACGCUGAAGGAGGAGCUUGCUUCUCUGGAUGAGUUGCGAACGGGUGAGUAACGCGUAGGUAACCUGCCUGGUAGCGGGGGAUAACUAUUGGAAACGAUAGCUAAUACCGCAUAAUAGUAGAUGUUGCAUGACAUUUGCUUAAAAGGUGCAAUUGCAUCACUACCAGAUGGACCUGCGUUGUAUUAGCUAGUUGGUGGGGUAACGGCUCACCAAGGCGACGAUACAUAGCCGACCUGAGAGGGUGAUCGGCCACACUGGGACUGAGACACGGCCCAGACUCCUACGGGAGGCAGCAGUAGGGAAUCUUCGGCAAUGGACGGAAGUCUGACCGAGCAACGCCGCGUGAGUGAAGAAGGUUUUCGGAUCGUAAAGCUCUGUUGUAAGAGAAGAACGAGUGUGAGAGUGGAAAGUUCACACUGUGACGGUAUCUUACCAGAAAGGGGCGGCUAACUACGUG